UCCCUGGUAGUCCAGUGGCUUAGACGCCUCACUCCCAAUGCAGGGAGCCCGGGUUCAAUCCCUAGUCAGGGAA
rfam:TPA: Bos taurus chromosome 2, whole genome shotgun sequence.